GUGGGGAAUCUUGCGCAAUGGGCGAAAGCCUGACGCAGCAACGCCGCGUGCGGGAUGAAGGCCCUCGGGUUGUAAACCGCUUUCAGCAGGGACGAAGAUGACGGUACCUGCAGAAGAAGCCCCGGCCAACUACGUGCCAGCAGCCGCGGUAACACGUAGGGGGCGAGCGUUGUCCGGAUUUAUUGGGCGUAAAGAGCUCGUAGGCGGUUCCGUCAGUCGGGUGUGAAAACUCUGGGCUCAACCCAGAGACGCCACCCGAUACUGCGGUGACUAGAGUCCGGUAGGGGAGUGCGGAAUUCCUGGUGUAGCGGUGAAAUGCGCAGAUAUCAGGAGGAACACCAACGGCGAAGGCAGCACUCUGGGCCGGUACUGACGCUGAGGAGCGAAAGCGUGGGGAGCGAACAGGAUUAGAAACCCGUGUAGUCC
rnacentral:rRNA from 1 species